rnacentral:rRNA from 1 species
GCAGUCGAGGGGUAUUGUUCUUCGGAAUGAGAGACCGGCGCACGGGUGCGUAACGCGUAUGCAAUCUACCUUUUGCAGAGGGAUAGCCCAGAGAAAUUUGGAUUAAUACCUCAUAGUAUGUGAGAAUGGCAUCAUUUUCACAUUAAAGUCACAACGGCAAAAGAUGAGCAUGCGUCCCAUUAGCUAGUUGGUAAGGUAACGGCUUACCAAGGCUACGAUGGGUAGGGGUCCUGAGAGGGAGAUCCCCCACACUGGUACUGAGACACGGACCAGACUCCUACGGGAGGCAGCAGUGAGGAAUAUUGGACAAUGGGCGCAAGCCUGAUCCAGCCAUGCCGCGUGCAGGAUGACGGUCCUAUGGAUUGUAAACUGCUUUUGCACAGGAAGAAACAACUCUACGUGUAGAGUCUUGACGGUACUGUGAGAAUAAGGAUCGGCUAACUCCGUGCCAGCAGCCGCGGUAAUACGGAGGAUCCAAGCGUUAUCCGGAAUCAUUGGGUUUAAAGGGUCCGUAGGCGGUUUAGUAAGUCAGUGGUGAAAGCCCAUCGCUCAACGGUGGAACGGCCAUUGAUACUGCUAGACUUGAAUUAUUAGGAAGUAACUAGAAUAUGUAGUGUAGCGGUGAAAUGCUUAGAGAUUACAUGGAAUACCAAUUGCGAAGGCAGGUUACUACUAAUGGAUUGACGCUGAUGGACGAAAGCGUGGGUAGCGAACAGGAUUAGAUACCCUGGUAGUCCACGCCGUAAACGAUGGAUACUAGCUGUUGGGCGCAAGUUCAGUGGCUAAGCGAAAGUGAUAAGUAUCCCACCUGGGGAGUACGUUCGCAAGAAUGAAAC